GAUGAACGCUGGCGGCGUGCCUAAUACAUGCAAGUCGAGCGAUCAGACGAGGAGCUUGCUCCUCUGACGUUAGCGGCGGACGGGUGAGUAACACGUGGAUAACCUACCUAUAAGACUGGGAUAACUUCGGGAAACCGGAGCUAAUACCGGAUAAUAUAUUGAACCGCAUGGUUCAAUAGUGAAAGACGGUUUUGCUGUCACUUAUAGAUGGAUCCGCGCCGCAUUAGCUAGUUGGUAAGGUAACGGCUUACCAAGGCAACGAUGCGUAGCCGACCUGAGAGGGUGAUCGGCCACACUGGAACUGAGACACGGUCCAGACUCCUACGGGAGGCAGCAGUAGGGAAUCUUCCGCAAUGGGCGAAAGCCUGACGGAGCAACGCCGCGUGAGUGAUGAAGGUCUUCGGAUCGUAAAACUCUGUUAUUAGGGAAGAACAAAUGUGUAAGUAACUAUGUACGUCUUGACGGUACCUAAUCAGAAAGCCACGGCUAACUACGUG
rnacentral:rRNA from 1 species